ACGUAGGAGGCUAGCGUUAUCCGGAUUUAUUGGGCGUAAAGCGCGUGCAGGCGGUUUGAUAAGUUGGAUGUGAAAUCUCCCGGCUUAACUGGGAGCGGUCGUUCAAAACUAUCAGACUAGAGAAUGGGAGAGGAAGGUGGAAUUCCGGGUGUAGUGGUGAAAUGCGUAGAUAUCCGGAGGAACACCAGUGGCGAAAGCGGCCUUCUAGACCAUUUCUGACGCUGAGACGCGAAAGCUAGGGUAGCAAACGGGAUUAGAUACCCGCGUAGUCCCUGAG
rnacentral:rRNA from 1 species